CCAAACUGGAGACGAGACGAUGGGAGUCAUUUUGGAGUCAAGUGGGGAUGACAUGAUAAGGACGCACAACACAGGCAGUGUUCGCCGCUCCUGGAUGUCCUACAGGCUCCGCCCCCUGCUCUGCCCCCUUAGAGAAAUAACGACAGACAUGUUCAGUAAAUAAUGUCCUUCACGCACCACCAUAGUCCUGAAGGUCUGAAGCUUUUGGAACUGGCCUGUGUUCUUUCUCUCAAGCAAAGCCGUGCUGUGACUGGCUCAGUCGUAUCU